rnacentral:rRNA from 1 species
UACGUAGGUGGCAAGCGUUGUCCGGAAUCACUGGGCGUACAGCGCGCGCAGGCGGCGAUCUACGUCUGGGGUGAAGGCCCGGAGCUCAACUCCGGGACUGCCUUGGAUACGGGACCGCUUGAGGAUUGGAGAGGCAAGGGGAAUUCCACGUGUAGCGGUGAAAUGCGUAGAUAUCUGGAGGAACACCGGUGGCGAAGGCGGCGUUCUGGACUGCAACUGACACUGAUGAACGAAAGCCAGGGGAGCAAACGGG